ensembl:lncRNA
CUCAGGUCUCUACUCCAUCCUUUAAACUGCAAUUUCAAGUUUCUUCUUGAUCAUUUUCAUCUCACAAUCUUGUAGUCUUGGCUGUAUAUUGGCCAGAUUUCAUCAGCUAAGGUAGUGGGCUCCCUUUCCUGUUUUGUAUCCUUACCUGCUCAAUAAUCUGACAGGUAUAUGCCUAACAGGCAUAUGUUGCCUAGAUUAAACUGAUAUGAACCCUCCUAUCCCAUUUUCUGCUGUUGCUGCUGCCUCAUCUCUUGACUCUUUAUUCCUUAGGAUGAGUGCCAUAGCUAUGAUUUGUGAUUGACGUGAUGUUACAAUCUCUUAGAUGCAAAGAGAAAAAGUUUCUUCUUUGUAAGAAUAAAAUUAAUUUGGGGCCUCAUCAUUGUGAAGCCCACAAGAAGUGCAUUAUAAUAUCAGAGCAGCAGUUUUAAGACACUGGGAACUGAAAAUCCUGUUCACCCUCUACACAGAGGGAGAAAAUUGGUGCUGCAACAAGAAGAUAAAAGGAAAAGUGCCCAGAGGCUCUAACAGGAGCACUUGAGCCAAUGCAGCGAAGCUGGGAGACUGACAGCUGCAAUAGGAGGAAAUGCAACUGCUGGUCUUACAGAGACCAGCGGAAGAGAGAGAAAGUUCCAGAUACCAUCAUAUAUUGAAGAAGUAUUUAAAUGAAGAUGUGAAGAAUGCCACCUUGUUUACAGAAGGGAAACAUUUUCCAGGAGCCUAUUUGAGUUCCCCGCAGAAGGAGGACUUAGAGAGAAAGACAUUUAACAAAGAAGAAGCUGAAGAAGAAGAGUAACUGAUUAUGGAAAAACAGUGAUAAAGUCUGGCAGCCAAGAG